UACGGGAGGCAGCAGUGGGGAAUAUUGCACAAUGGGCGCAAGCCUGAUGCAGCCAUGCCGCGUGUAUGAAGAAGGCCUUCGGGUUGUAAAGUACUUUCAGUCGUGAGGAAGGUGUUAAGGUUAAUAACCUUAGCAAUUGACGUUAGCGACAGAAGAAGCACCGGCUAACUCCGUGCCAGCAGCCGCGGUAAUACGGAGGGUGCGAGCGUUAAUCGGAAUUACUGGGCGUAAAGGGCACGCAGGCGGUUAAUUAAGUUGGAUGUGAAAUCCCCGGGCUUAACCUGGGAAUGGCAUUCAGGACUGGUUAGCUAGAGUCUUGUAGAGGGGGUAGAAUUCCAUGUGUAGCGGUGAAAUGCGUAGAGAUGUGGAGGAAUACCGGUGGCGAAGGCGGCCCCUGGACAAAGACUGACGCUCAUGUGCGAAAGCGUGGGGAGCAAACAGGGAUUAGAUACC
rnacentral:rRNA from 1 species